rnacentral:rRNA from 1 species
UGCAAGUCGAGCGAACAGAUAAGGAGCUUGCUCCUUUGACGUUAGCGGCGGACGGGUGAGUAACACGUGGGUAACCUACCUAUAAGACUGGAAUAACUUCGGGAAACCGAAGCUAAUGCCGGAUAACAUGUAGAACCGCAUGGUUCUACAGUGAAAGAUGGCCUUGCUAUCACUUAUAGAUGGACCCGCGCCGUAUUAGCUAGUUGGUAAGGUAACGGCUUACCAAGGCAACGAUACGUAGCCGACCUGAGAGGGUGAUCGGCCACACUGGAACUGAGACACGGUCCAGACUCCUACGGGAGGCAGCAGUAGGGAAUCUUCCGCAAUGGGCGAAAGCCUGACGGAGCAACGCCGCGUGAGUGAUGAAGGUCUUCGGAUCGUAAAGCUCUGUUAUUAGGGAAGAACAAGUGCGUAAGUAACUGUGCGCACCUUGACGGUACCUAAUCAGAAAGCCACGGCUAACUACGUGCCAGCAGCCGCGGUAAUACGUAGGUGGCAAGCGUUAUCCGGAAUUAUUGGGCGUAAAGCGCGCGUAGGCGGUUUCUUAAGUCUGAUGUGAAAGCCCACGGCUCAACCGUGGAGGGUCAUUGGAAACUGGGAGACUUGAGUGCAGAAGAGGAAAGUGGAAUUCCAUGUGUAGCGGUGAAAUGCGCAGAGAUAUGGAGGAACACCAGUGGCGAAGGCGACUUUCUGGUCUGUAACUGACGCUGAUGUGCGAAAGCGUGGGGAUCAAACAGGAUUAGAUACCCUGGUAGUCCACGCCGUAA